CCCAGCCUAAUGGACAGCUUCUUUACGAAUCUCGUCAUCUUGUGACUGCCCGUUUUUCCAAGGAAGGCAAUUACACCUACUUGCGUGGACAGUGUAAAGCCAGUACGAAAACAGUGGCAUAUGUGGUUGAUGUAAAGUUAAGUAAAGAUGGAAUAAUAGAAGAAUGUCAUUGUGAUUGUGCUGCGGGAAGUGGUACUCAAGCAAGUUGCAAACAUGUCUCUGUAUUGUUGUUUGGUAUACAUGAAAUGGUGCACAAGAAAUUAAUGAAACUGCGUCAAUCGUGUACUGAAAAGCUAAUGACAUUUUAGCAAGCAGUUCAUAAUUUACCAAGCAAGAGGUUAAAAUCCUGUAAUCUUAAGCCCCUAAAUGAGAGUGACGUAACGGAAAAUUAUACAGAUUAUGUGCGGAAUUUGGUCAUCGGGUAUGGUGUAAGUCAAUGCUUUUACUGCAGACAUAUGAACCUGCAAAUCCACAUGAGAUUGAAUUGGAUCACUACCCAUAUUUAGCCAAGACUCCACAAGAUAAUUUGCUUGAAAAGCUCCUAUUGAAGAAUGUCACAACUGAAAAAAUUCUAGCAUUGUAGAAGAAUACCAAGGCUCAAAAUGCCUCUGCCGAGUGGCAUGAAAUGAGAUCAUGUAGGAUUAUUGCUAGCAUAUUUUAUGUACUUUGCCACAGUAAAACUUGCACUAAAAGUAUAUUACAAAAAAUUUUUGCACCGAAGAUUGUGCAUACUCGAGCAAUGGUUCAUGGUUAAAUCCAUGAAACAAUUGCUAUUGCGAAAUAGGAGGACAAGUAUGGACUGUCAGUACAAGCAUAUGUAUUGUUUAUUUUCCUCUGAAUCCA
rnacentral:misc_RNA from 1 species